rnacentral:rRNA from 1 species
GCGUGCGCGAUGAAGGCCUUCGGGUUGUAAAGCGCUUUUAGAGGAGAUGAGAAAGGACAGUAUCCUCUGAAUAAGCCUCGGCGAACUACGUGCCAGCAGCCGCGGUAAAACGUAGGAGGCUAGCGUUAUCCGGAUUUAUUGGGCGUAAAGCGUGUGCAGGCGGUUUGGUAAGUUGGAUGUGAAAGCUCCUGGCUUAACUGGGAGAGGUCGUUCAAAACUACCAGACUUGAGAAUGGGAGAGGGAGAUGGAAUUCCGGGUGUAGUGGUGAAAUGCGUAGAUAUCCGGAGGAACACCAGUGGCGAAAGCGGUCUCCUAGACCAUUUCUGACGCUUAAACACGAAAGCUAGGGUAGCAAACGGGAUUAGAGACCCCGGUAGUCCUAGCUGUAAACGAUGUAGACUUGGCGUUGGCGGAGUUAAAUCUGCCAGUGCCGAAGCUAACGCGUGAAGUCUACCGCCUGGGGACUACGACCGCAAGGUU